AUAUUUCUCUGAGCUUAUCUGAGUUACACGACAGGACUUAAUGUGCAAAUGUUUUAUUCAACCAAUGACAAUUUGUGAAGAUAAAUGAUGAAGCAUCUUGGAGUUCUUGCUAGUUUGUUUGUGGCACUGGUUCUUGUCCAUGGAGGGUUGCGCGAGACAACAGUUGAACCAGAGUCAACUACUGAUCCAAGGCCCACUACUGAGGUAGAAACUACUACUGCUACUACAACUCGAACGACUAGUCCAAGCCCGCCAGGCGGCGAGGCGCCUGGAAUCACCGGAAGUGUGAUACUGACCACUAUGUCGUUUGGAUUUCUCUGCUUCAUUUAGUGAAUUUUUGUUUGAAGUACAUCAGCCAGCACAAAGAUGAACAAUAAUGGUCGUUCUACAAUUGUCGGCAAAAUGUUUUCGAAAUUCCGCAUUAAUAAAGGAAAAUUGAAUAUUAAUCAAGAUAUACAAUGUGACAAUAUUACUGCUCUACAUGGGAAGAACCGACUGUAAUUUUCAAAUUUACUAAGUCUCUUAGUAGAAGAGAACACUUAAUUAAUAUGGAAAGUAAUGUUGUUGUUUUUAAAAAUGACUAAAAAAUAAAAGACAUUGAUAGUUAAAUUU
rnacentral:sRNA from 1 species